AUGCUUCGGAAGUUUUGGUGGGGAUCUAAGAAGGGAGAAAGGAAAACUGCAUGGGUCUCGUGGGAAGUCAUGACGCAACCGAAGUUUAUGGGAGGCAUGGGCUUUCGCGACAUCGAGCUUUUUAACUUAGCCUUGCUUGCCCGUCAAGCCUGGCGCCUACUGCAAGAGCCUGAUUCGCUAAGUGCGCGCAUAUUAAAGGCUGUAUAUUAUCCUAACUGCACCGUUCUGGAAGCUGGGCUGGGAAGUAAUCCGUCUCAAGUGUGGCGCUCCAUUCAUGAGGGGUGUGACACCCUGAAAUUGGGAAUCAUCAAAAGGAUCGGCACCGGAAGUGAGACGAGCAUUUGGCAGGACAACUGGAUACCG
rnacentral:rRNA from 1 species